rnacentral:rRNA from 1 species
AUUGAACGCUGGCGGCAGGCUUAACACAUGCAAGUCGAGCGGAGAUGAGGUGCUUGCACCUUAUCUUAGCGGCGGACGGGUGAGUAAUGCUUAGGAAUCUGCCUAUUAGUGGGGGACAACAUUCCGAAAGGAAUGCUAAUACCGCAUACGCCCUACGGGGAAAAGCAGGGGAUCUUCGGACCUUGCGCUAAGAGAUUAGCCUAAGUCGGAUUAGCUAGUUGGUGGGGUAAAGGCCUACCAAGGCGACGAUCUGUAGCGGGUCUGAGAGGAUGAUCCGCCACACUGGGACUGAGACACGGCCCAGACUCCUACGGGAGGCAGCAGUGGGGAAUAUUGGACAAUGGGCGGAAGUCUGAUCCAGCCAUGCCGCGUGUGUGAAGAAGGCCUUUUGGUUGUAAAGCACUUUAAGCGAGGAGGAGGCUACCUGGAUUAAUACUCUAGGAUAGUGGACGUUACUCGCAGAAUAAGCACCGGCUAACUCUGUGCCAGCCGCCGCGGUAAUAC